rnacentral:rRNA from 1 species
GAGUUUGAUCGUGGCUCAGGACGAACGCUGGCGGCGUGCUUAACACAUGCAAGUCGAGGGCACUGGUUUCGGCCAGUGACCGGCGAACGGGUGCGUAACACGUGAGCGACCUGCCCAACUGCGGGGGAUAGCCGGCCCAACGGCCGGGUAAUACCGCAUACGCUCUCUGGGGGGCAUCUCCUGGGGAGGAAACUUCCGGGGCGGUUGGAGGGGCUCGCGGCCUAUCAGCUAGUUGGGGGGUAACGGGCC